UUAUCAAAAACAUCGCCUCUUGCAAAAUUAACGAAUAAGAGGUCCUGCCUGCCCUGUGACCAUGAGUUCAACGGCCGCGGUAUUUUGACCGUGCAAAGGUAGCGCAAUCACUUGUCUUUUAAAUGAAGACCCGUAUGAAUGGCAAGACGAGGGCUUAGCUGUCUCCUUUCUCAAGUCAAUGAAAUUGAUCUUCCCGUGCAGAAGCGGGAAUUAUAACAUAAGACGAGAAGACCCUAUGGAGCUUUAGACACCAAGACAGACCACGUCAAAGCCCCCUAACCAAGGAACUGAACUAAGUGACCCCUGUCCUAAUGUCUUUGGUUGGGGCGACCACGGGGAAACACAAAACCCCCGCGUGGAAUGGGAGCACUACACUCCUACAACCAAGAGCUUCCGCUCUAAUAAACAGAAUUUCUGACCAACAAGAUCCGGCAACGCCGAUCAACGAACCGAGUUACCCUAGGGAUAACAGCGCAAUCCUCUUUUAGAGCCCAUAUCGACAAGAGGGUUUACGACCUCGAUGUUGGAUCAGGACAUCCUAAUGGUGCAGCCGCUAUUAAGGGUUCGUUUGUUCAACGAUUAAAGUCCUACAUGAUCUGAGUUUC
rnacentral:rRNA from 1 species